rnacentral:tRNA from 21 species
UAGCUCAGUUGGUUAGAGCACAUCACUCAUAAUGAUGGGGUCACAGGUUCGAAUCCCGU